rnacentral:rRNA from 1 species
UACGAAGGGGGCUAGCGUUGCUCGGAAUCACUGGGCGUAAAGGGUGCGUAGGCGGGUCUUAAGUCAGGGGUGAAAUCCUGGAGCUCAACUCCAGAACUGCCUUUGAUACUGAAGAUCUUGAGUUCGGGAGAGGUGAGUGGAACUGCGAGUGUAGAGGUGAAAUUCGUAGAUAUUCGCAAGAACACCAGUGGCGAAGGCGGCUCACUGGCCCAUAACUGACGCUGAGGCACGAAAGCCAGGGGAGC